rnacentral:lncRNA from 1 species
UGGUUCCUCUAGGACCCAGAACCGUCCCUGGACUACCUCCUUUCCCGCUUUUUGCAGGCGAUCACCAGGCAGUUUCAUCCCUUGUUGACCUCGGACCGCAGCUUAAGCCUCAAACUUUAUUUCAAUGCUCCCUCCCACGUGCUCCGAAAGACUAUGUCUUUGCCGCUGUCCAAGGAACUGCGGCAGAAGUAGUGCGUCUGUUCCAUGCCCAUUCGCAAGGACAACAAGGUCCAGGUACACCCAAGCGUCCUCGAGUUCUAGUUCCCCAGGAGCAUAAAGUUCACUCACCCCCUUAACAUGAAAUCCUGUCAUAUGCCCCAAGACUUCAAUCAAGACAGCAGAGUACUGCAGACGUAUUAGAACGGAGCCACUACUGUGCCUGUCCUGCCUAGGAGCGUUCAGUUUUCGAUAAUGGCCAUAGAACAAUAUGCCAGGACUGAAAA